rnacentral:rRNA from 1 species
UACAGAGGGGGCAAGCGUUGUUCGGAAUUACUGGGCGUAAAGGGCGCGUAGGCGGCCUUCUAAGUCGAACGUGAAAUCCCCGGGCUCAACCCGGGAACUGCGUCCGAUACUGGAAGGCUUGAAUCCGGGAGAGGGAUGCGGAAUUCCAGGUGUAGCGGUGAAAUGCGUAGAUAUCUGGAGGAACACCGGUGGCGAAGGCGGCUCACUGGUCCGGUACUGACGCUGAGGUGCGAAAGCGUGGGGAGCAAACAGG